rnacentral:rRNA from 1 species
ACACGACUACAUUAGAUACCCCGGUAGUCCCAGCCGUAAACUAUGCUCGCUAGGUGUCAGGGACGGUGCGACCGUUUCUGGUGCCGCAGGGAAGCCGUGAAGCGAGCCACCUGGGAAGUACGGCCGCAAGGCUGAAACUUAAAGGAAUUGGCGGGGGAGCACAACAACGGGUGGAGCUUGCGGUUUAAUUGGAUUCAACACCGGAAAUCUUACCGGGACCGACAGCAACAUGAAGGCCAAGCUGAAGACUUUGCCGGAUUAGCUG